GCACAUUCCCGCCAAACAGGCUUUACCUGUUCAUCAUCCUGCCAGUUUGAGGUGCUGCUUACCUUUUCUUCUAGAUAUUAUCAAUUUUACUAAUUUUCCUCUAAUCAUUGCUUGCUGCUUCAAGUUAUCUAGCGCACUUUCUGCCUGUUCACCUGUCUUCCUGUGAGCGCCCAUGUCCCAGCCGUGAAGUGGCGGGUGACAGGACUUCCUUGGGGUCCAUUUCCUGUGACAGGCCAGUCCUCAAGGGCUGGGGUCUUGGUGGGCCCUCCUCAGGGCCAUGGCCUUGGCUCUCUCUCUCCCAGGCUGAACCUUCGGGAGCUGGGCCCCUGGGCCUCCCACAUACGCUGGCUGGUCUGGAUUAUGGCUUCCGUGGGCACCAUCUAUGUCUUCUUCUUCCAUGAGCGGUACAAGCUUGUGGAGCUUCUCUGCUACAUCGUGAUGGGCUUCUUCCCUGCCCUGGUCAUCCUCUCCAUGGUAAGUGCUGCCAGCCCUGCAUGGAUGGGUCCCUGCAAGGGACCAAGAGUGUCUGGGCUGGACUUGGCUGUUGAGAUUGUCACACUCUCCUAUGGCAGUGGGGAAACUGAGGCCUGGCAUGUCUUGUCUAAAGAGGCAGUAGGCCAGGCACAGUGGCUCAUGCCUAUAAUCCAGUCCUUUGGGAAGCUGAGGUGGGAGGAUAGUUUUGAGUCCAGGGGUUUGAGACCAGCCUGGGCAACACAGCAAGACCCAUCUCUAAAAAAAAAAAAAAUUUGCCAGAGUGGUGCACACCUAUAGUCUCAGCUACUCUGGAGGCUGAGGCAGGAGAAUCUCUUGAACUCAGGUUGCAGAGGUUGCAGUGAGCUGAGAUCGCACCACUGCAUUCCAGCCUGGGCUACAAGAGGUGAAACUCUGUUUCAAAAGAACAAUUUUUUUUUUUUUUGUAGAGCAGGAUCUCCUUAUGUGCCUAGAAUAGUCUUGAAUUCCUGGCCUGGUGAGGGCUUGGCAGUUCUUCUUGCUCAAUCCCUCCUAUCCUAUGAGUGUUUCUUUUUCUGCUGCUUCUUUUUUUUUUUUUUUUUAGAGAUGGAGUCUCACUAUAUUGCCCAGGCUGGUCUCGAUCUCCUGGGCUUAAGCCCACCUUGGCCUUCCAAAGUGCUGGGAUUACAGGCGUAGCUACCGUGCCUGCAGAGAGUUCUUUUAUUAAGAGCAACUCAUGUUAAUAGUACUCACAUCCGGGGGCCAGGACUACUACUUUUUUCCUACCAUGUUUUUUUUCUCUAAAUAUUUUUUGCCAUGAAGCAAAACAAAAAUUAUUUUCUCUACCUCUCUCUCUUUUUUUUUUUUUUUGCCAUGCCAUUACUUUAAAAACUUGUGGUAAAUAUUCAGUUCAGUGGCAGUAAGCACAGUCACAUUGUCAUGCGACCAUCACCA
rnacentral:lncRNA from 1 species